UUGUUUCAAAAUUUUGGUUUCAUGUCCGUCUAAAUUCAAAAUUUAAAAUUUUAUUCUUCGGAUUUUCCUUUUGGUAAAUCGUUUGCUUAAAACUUAAUAUUCACAAUGUUGAGCAAAUUAAUUUCUAAAGCUUUACCUAGGGGUAUUAUGUUUGAGCAAAAUCUGUUACGAGUUUCAGAUAUUGCUGUACGAACUUUCAGCGAUUCCGCUGAUCAUUAUUAUCAAAUGAAGAAUGUUUUGGCGGACUACGAAGAUAACACGAUAAAAUGGAUGAAUCGCAUAUCAAAGAACCAUGCGUUAGAAAUGCAAAAACAAUUUCUUAUAAAUCUUUACAUUCGGUCAAAAGAAGAACAUCCAUCCUAUUACGAAAUACUUAGCAAAUGGCAGGAAGAGAGGCUAACAGAAGAAAUGUUGAAAGCCCAGCAAGAUGACUGAUGAUAAGAAGACUAUUGGCAAGACUGAGCGGUAACAACAAGAUAUCUAGAAUUUUAAGAACAUACUAGAAUUGAACACCAUCGAAUAUCUUUCAUUUAUUUUCAGAUGGUAUUAUGUGAAAGUAUUAGGAAGAAGGGUUAAGGAAAAGUAAAAUUGUUUAAAGUUACCGUUUUUAUAUCUGCUGGCGGAUCGUAAGGCAUUUUUUAUUCGUAUAGUUCAUGUUGUAUGACGUAACGGAUAAUAUCGAAUUGUCCUUGUGUGACUUAGGUAAACAAAAUUCUAAGCGUGGCUUUUGAUCAAGUACUUCAAGAUCUUAAAAUAAUGGGUUUAAUGAAUUUUCUUGACUUUGACAAGAGCAGUACGACGUUUUUGUAAUUCUGAUUCUGCAAUGCGUUUCAUGGUUUUUACUGUUUUCUACUAUACUUCAAAAAAGGAUAACUAUCGUUUUUGAUAUGAACAUGCUUCCCCGCAAAAUUUGCUGGAUUCUCCUAAGACAAUGCCCUGUUUUUAAAAUUAACAAAGCAAAAAAAAAAAUAAACGGACGCUUAAUAUCAAUGACAUUAUGAAGCCAAUAUCAACAUCAUGAAGCCAAUAUCAACAACCAAGAAGUUCCAGCGUACUAUUGAAAAUAAUCUGACAUCGACAAACACCAAAAAACCAAAAGGUUCCGGAGAAAAAUUAUAAACAAAUCAGGGCAAAAUUGUAUCAAAGAGUUCUAUAUAUAAAUAAUAUGAUAUAAUUUUACUCUUUGAUAUAGUCUUACUCUUUAUUUAAUACUGUUUCUGUGACGGAGUAGAAUUAAUAACAGCAUAGGGCAAAAUUAAACCAAAAGGAACCAAUAGUUCGGAAGAACCUUAAGUAAUGAUACGUGGUACAUAUAAAUAUUACUGUUAGUGAAGUUAUUUUCUUUUAGUAACUUAACUUGAUCUUUGGAACAGACAUACGUCUGUUUAAUUCUAUGGAGACCCUUAUGCAAUUUUUCU